UGUGAAUGGCUUGACAACUCCAGAAAAAAAAAGCUGUUUUCUUUUUCUGUUUUAGGCCCUUGAAUGGGAUCUGUUUACAUUUUCAGGAAGAACUAAUUUGGGAGGGAGAGAAAAGCGAUGGAUCUUAAUCUUUUUUACAGCUGCUAAAGGGAAUGUCGUAAAAUUCUCUUUGCCUUCCCCGCCAAAGAACCCCAUCUUGUACCUUCCCGGCCUGGGUGAAGAUGACCUUCAACUUUACCAGGAUAGAAUGCUUAAGAAUUAAGAGGGAAAAAUACAUGACUUUGCUUUAAAGUGAGAUCAAGAAGCAAUUGUUUGCCAUCUUCCUUCCUGGGAAAGGAGACUGACAGUUCCUGAGGCAGCUCUUGGUAAGUAUAUCCAUAUCUGCCAACAUGUUGUGCUUACCCCUGUUUUGAACUUUUAUUCUAGGAUGGUUGUAAACCAGGGAAAAUCUACAAAAAUCUGUAAGUGCUCUGAAAAGAAAUUCC
rnacentral:lncRNA from 1 species